rnacentral:lncRNA from 1 species
UUGCUUAUUUGUUCUGUAUAAAUAGAGGCUAUAAACCAUUACAAUUGUGCUUCCAAUCAAACACAUUUUCUUCAUUAAAGUGGAUUGGCCGAGACAUUUUACCAAGUGUUGUUUGCUGUAUCAAAAUAAAAUCAACAAAAAAAUUGGUUGCUGUUUGGUGUGCUUGGCCGAGAGUUUUCUAAUUGAUUGGUGUGUUUGAUUGCUUCAUUUAGAGCCUAUUUUUCAUCUCCAAUACAGAAUAUUUUGGUUUGAGGUUUGCCAAAAUUAUUUCCAGCAUUAAUUCGGUCUUGCUCUUCAUGUAUGCGUAGCAUGUUGAUGUGAUUUUGCUCCUUAGUUGUGUUAAUUUUCUUUGCUGUCUUGUUCAUUUUGUGCCACUGUUUUGACUCCAUUUUCUUGCUUUUUUGUCUUCAUAAAAUCAUUAAAUUGCUGCCUCCUUGUUUUUGUGCCAAGUUUCUUGAUUUUUAGGUUCUAUUUUCAUCAUUUGUCUUGUAGUUUUCAUUCAUUUUUUGGCUUCUAACAUGUGCU